rfam:Zootermopsis nevadensis contig25100, whole genome shotgun sequence.
GCCACGGUGGUCUAGCGGUUAGAACGCUGGCCUGGUAAUCCUGGGGUCUCGGGUUCGAUUCCCGGCGGUGCCC